GACCACGAGUUGGUCGGUGACCGGGCUGGCCUGGCAGGUCAGCACGUACCCGGCGGCCACCUCGUCCGGCUCCAGGGCGUAGUUGC
rnacentral:tRNA from 1 species